GAGGCGGGGCGAUGAGCUGGAGCGCCGCAGGUCGGGCCUCCAUCCAGGGCCUGCGCUUUCCCACCCAACAGCACCCCCUAAUCGGGACCUGUCUGCAGGGCCCCCGGUUGCCGUAACCUGGCUCGGGCCCUGCAGUGCCGUGGCCCGGGGCUGGAACUGCCUGCCAACUGCCUGAUUGCAGGAAACAGCAAUUGCCGUCCAGAACCAUCACAAGUUAAAAAAUAAAGAUUGUGAUCUCACAACA